AUGAACGCUGGAGGCGUGGCUAAGGCAUGCAAGUCGAACGCCCUGUCCGAAGUCGCAAGACGGAGGAUAAGGGAGUGGCAAACGGGAGCGUAACACAUUGGUUACUUACCUCGAACUCGGGAACAACUAAGGGAAACUUUAGCUAAUACCCGAUAUGAUUGUUGGCCGCAGGGCUGACUAUUGAAAGAUUUAUCGGUUCGAGAGAGACCUAUGGUCCAUCAGCUAGUUGGCGGGGUAAAGGCCCACCAAGGCUAUGACGGAUACCAGGCGCGAGAGCGUGACCUGGCUCACUGGGACUGAGACACUGCCCAGACACCUACGGGUGGCUGCAGUCGCGAAUAUUCGGCAAUGCACGAAAGUGUGACCGAGCGACGCCUCGUGUCGGAAGAAGGCCUUCGGGUCGUAAACGACUUUUAUUAGGGAAGAAUCCUGACGGUACCUAAUGAAUAAGUGGUUGCUAACUCUGU
rnacentral:rRNA from 1 species